AAAAUCCGUCGACUUUAGAAAUCGUGAGGGUUCAAGUCCCUCUAUCCCCCCAAAAAGACCGAUUUGACUAUUUCUCCUACCCUCUCUUUUUUUUAGUGAUUCAAAAUUCGUUCUCUUUCUCAUUCAUUCUACCUUUUUACAAACGUAUCAGAGCAGAAUUUUUUUUUUAUCACAAUCACAAGUGGUGUGGUAUAUAUGAUAUACGUACAAAUGAACAUCUUUGAACAAAGAAUCCCGAUUCACAAUUCAUAUCAUUGCUCAUACUGAAACUUAUAAAUUAUUCUAUUCAAGAAAUCGAAUUCCACGCUCAAGACUUUUAAUACUUUUUUAAUUGACAUAGACCCCAGUCAUCUAGUAAAAUGAGGAUGAUGCGCCGGUAAUGGUCGGGAUAGCUCAGCUGGUAGAGCAGAGGACUGAAAAUCCU
rnacentral:tRNA from 1 species